rnacentral:rRNA from 1 species
UACAGAGGGUGCGAGCGUUAAUCGGAAUUACUGGGCGUAAAGCGUGCGCAGAUGGCUAUGUAAGUCGGGUGUGAAAGCCCCGGGCUCAACCUGGGAAUUGCAUUCGAGACUGCAUGGCUAGGGUGCGGAAGAGGGAAGCGGAAUUUCCGGUGUAGCGGUGAAAUGCGUAGAUAUCGGAAGGAACACCAGUGGCGAAAGCGGCUUCCUGGUCCAGCACCGACAUUCAGGCACGAAAGCGUGGGGAGCAAACAGG